rnacentral:rRNA from 1 species
UCAUGAUGAACGCUAGCUACAGGCUUAACACAUGCAAGUCGAGGGGCAGCAUGGUCUUAGCUUGCUAAGGCCGAUGGCGACCGGCGCACGGGUGAGUAACACGUAUCCAACCUGCCGUCUACUCUUGGACAGCCUUCUGAAAGGAAGAUUAAUACAAGAUGGCAUCAUGAGUCCGCAUGUUCACAUGAUUAAAGGUAUUCCGGUAGACGAUGGGGAUGCGUUCCAUUAGAUAGUAGGCGGAGUAACGGCCCACCUAGUCUUCGAUGGAUAGGGGUUCUGAGAGGAAGGUCCCCCACAUUGGAACUGAGACACGGUCCAAACUCCUACGGGAGGCAGCAGUGAGGAAUAUUGGUCAAUGGGCGCAGGCCUGAACCAGCCAAGUAGCGUGAAGGAUGACUGCCCUAUGGGUUGUAAACUUCUUUUAUAAAGGAAUAAAGUCGGGUAUGGAUACCCGUUUGCAUGUACUUUAUGAAUAAGGAUCGGCUAACUCCGUGCCAGCAGCCGCGGUAAUACGGAGGAUCCGAGCGUUAUCCGGAUUUAUUGGGUUUAAAGGGAGCGUAGAUGGAUGUUUAAGUCAGUUGUGAAAGUUUGCAGCUCAACCGUAAAAUUGCAGUUGAUACUGGAUAUCUUGAGUGCAGUUGAGGCAGGCGGAAUUCGUGGUGUAGCGGUGAAAUGCUUAGAUAUCACGAAGAACUCCGAUUGCGAAGGCAGCCUGCUAAGCUGCAACUGACAUUGAGGCUCGAAAGUGUGGGUAUCAAACAGGAUUAGAUACCCUGGUAGUCCACACGGUAAACGAUGAAUACUCGCUGUUUGCGAUAUACAGCAAGCGGCCAAGCGAAAGCGUUAAGUAUUCCACCUGGGGAGUACGCCGGCAACGGUGAAACUCAAAGGAAUUGACGGGGGCCCGCACAAGCGGAGGAACAUGUGGUUUAAUUCGAUGAUGCGCGAGGAACCUUACCCGGGCUUAAAUUGCAGAUGAAUUACGGUGAAAGCCGUAAGCCGCAAGGCAUCUGUGAAGGUGCUGCAUGGUUGUCGUCAGCUCGUGCCGUGAGGUGUCGGCUUAAGUGCCAUAACGAGCGCAACCCUUGUUGUCAGUUACUAACAGGUUCCGCUGAGGACUCUGACAAGACUGCCAUCGUAAGAUGUGAGGAAGGUGGGGAUGACGUCAAAUCAGCACGGCCCUUACGUCCGGGGCUACACACGUGUUACAAUGGGGGGUACAGAGGGCCGCUACCACGCGAGUGGAUGCCAAUCCCCAAAACCUCUCUCAGUUCGGACUGGAGUCUGCAACCCGACUCCACGAAGCUGGAUUCGCUAGUAAUCGCGCAUCAGCCACGGCGCGGUGAAUACGUUCCCGGGCCUUGUACACACCGCCCGUCAAGCCAUGGGAGCCGGGGGUACCUGAAGUGCGUAACCGCGAGGAGCGCCCUAGGGUAAAAC